CAGCCGCCGCGGUAAUACAGAGGUGCCGAGCGUUAGGCGGAAUCACUGGGCUUAAAGCGUGUGUAGGCGGAUUUUUAAGUACCUUGUGAAAUCCCAUGGCUUAACCAUGGAACUGCUGGGUAUACUGGAUAUCUUGAGCCAACUAGGGGCUACCGGAACAAAUGGUGGAGCGGUGAAAUGCGUAGAUAUCAUUUGGAACGCCAAUGGUGAAAACAGGUAGCUGGGGUUGUGCUGACGCUGAGACACGAAAGCCAGGGGAGCGAACGGGAUUAGAUACCCCGGUAGUCCUGGCCGUAAACGAUGUCGUCUAGAUCGUGGAACCUCUGACGGUGUCACGGUCGAAGCAAAAGUGCUAAGUCGACCGCCUGGGAAGUACGGUCGCAAGGCUAAAACUCAAAUGAAUUGACGG
rnacentral:rRNA from 1 species